AAGAAUGAAGCAAUUUUGCAUUCAGUUUCGACCUGAACCUAAGGUUAAAUCCCAUUCUUA
rnacentral:tRNA from 1 species